rnacentral:rRNA from 1 species
UACGUAGGCGCGAGCGUUGUUCGGAAUUACUUGGGCGUAAAGAGUGUGUAGGCGGUGCUCUAAGUUCGGUGUGAAAUCUCCUGGCUCAACUGGGAGGGUGCGCCGGAAACUGGAGUGCUUGAGCGUGGGAGAGGAAAGCGGAAUUCCUGGUGUAGCGGUGAAAUGCGUAGAUAUCAGGAGGAACACCUGUGGUGUAGACGGCUUUCUGGACCAUAGCUGACGCUGAGACACGAAAAGCGUGGGUAGCAAACAGG